CGGGAAACGGUGGCUAAUACCGGAUGUGCAGAGAUGCAAAAGAUUAAUUGCCUGAGGAUGAGCUCGCGUCUGAUUAGCUAGUUGGUGGGGUAAAGGCCUACCAAGGCGGCGAUCAGUAGCUGGUCUGAGAGGACGAUCAGCCACACUGGGACUGAGACACGGCCCAGACUCCUACGGGAGGCAGCAGUGGGGAAUUUUCCGCAAUGGGCGAAAGCCUGACGGAGCAAUACCGCGUGAGGGAGGAAGGCUCUUGGGUUGUAAACCUCUUUUCUCAGGGAAGAAUACAAUGACGGUACCUGAGGAAUAAGCAUCGGCUAACUCCGUGCCAGCAGCCGCGGUAAUACGGAGGAUGCAAGCGUUAUCCGGAAUGAUUGGGCGUAAAGCGUCCGCAGGUGGCAUUGCAAGUCUGCUGUCAAAGCUCAGGGCUUAACCCUGAAAAGGCAGUGGAAACUGAAAUGCUGGAGUGCGGUAGGGGUAGAGGGAAUUCCCGGUGUAGCGGUGAAAUGCGUAGAGAUCGGGAAGAACACCAGUGGCGAAAGCGCUCUACUAGGCCGCAACUGACACUCAUGGACGAAAGCUAGGGGAGCGAAUGGGAUUAG
rnacentral:rRNA from 1 species